GCACGGUGGUGCGGUUGGUAGCACUGUUGCUUUGCAGCAAUAAAGUCCUGGGUUCGAUUCCCAUCCGCGGGUCU